rnacentral:rRNA from 1 species
GCUUGCUCCCGGAUGUUAGCGGCGGACGGGUGAGUAACACGUGGGUAACCUGCCUGUAAGACUGGGAUAACUCCGGGAAACCGGAGCUAAUACCGGAUAGUUCCUUGAACCGCAUGGUUCAAGGAUGAAAGACGGUUUCGGCUGUCACUUACAGAUGGACCCGCGGCGCAUUAGCUAGUUGGUGAGGUAACGGCUCACCAAGGCGACGAUGCGUAGCCGACCUGAGAGGGUGAUCGGCCACACUGGGACUGAGACACGGCCCAGACUCCUACGGGAGGCAGCAGUAGGGAAUCUUCCGCAAUGGACGAAAGUCUGACGGAGCAACGCCGCGUGAGUGAUGAAGGUUUUCGGAUCGUAAAGCUCUGUUGUUAGGGAAGAACAAGUGCAAGAGUAACUGCUUGCACCUUGACGGUACCUAACCAGAAAGCCACGGCUAACUACGUGCCAGCAGCCGCGGUAAUACGUAGGUGGCAAGCGUUGUCCGGAAUUAUUGGGCGUAAAGGGCUCGCAGGCGGUUUCUUAAGUCUGAUGUGAAAGCCCCCGGCUCAACCGGGGAGGGUCAUUGGAAACUGGGAAACUUGAGUGCAGAAGAGGAGAGUGGAAUUCCACGUGUAGCGGUGAAAUGCGUAGAGAUGUGGAGGAACACCAGUGGCGAAGGCGACUCUCUGGUCUGUAACUGACGCUGAGGAGCGAAAGCGUGGGGAGCGAACAGGAUUAGAUACCCUGGUAGUCCACGCCGUAAACGAUGAGUGCUAAGUGUUAGGGGGUUUCCGCCCCUUAGUGCUGCAGCUAACGC